rnacentral:pre_miRNA from 1 species
UCACAUUUGCAGGCCGGCCGGCCCCCAGGCUGGGCUGGGCGAGUAUCUCCUGGAAAGGCUCACCCUCAAGCACGAAGAGGCGG